AUUGAACGCUGGCGGCAGGCCUAACACAUGCAAGUCGAGCGGGGUUUUCGGACCUAGCGGCGGACGGGUGAGUAAUGCGUAGGAAGCUGCCCGAUAGAGGGGGAUACCAGUUGGAAACGACUGUUAAUACCGCAUAAUGUCUACGGACCAAAGUGUGGGACCUUCGGGCCACAUGCUAUCGGAUGCGCCUACGUGGGAUUAGCUAGUUGGUGAGGUAAUGGCUCACCAAGGCGACGAUCUCUAGCUGGUUUGAGAGGAUGAUCAGCCACACUGGAAAUGAGGCACGGUCCAGACUCCGACGGGAGGCAGCAGUGGGGAAUAUUGGACAAUGGGCGCAAGCCUGAUCCAGCCAUGCCGCGUGUGUGAAGAAGGCCUUCGGGUUGUAAAGCACUUUCAGCGAGGAGGAAGGGUGGUGUGUUAAUAGCACAUCAUUUUGACGUUACUCGCAGAAGAAGCACCGGCUAACUCUGUGCCAGCCGCCGCGGUAAUAC
rnacentral:rRNA from 1 species